rnacentral:rRNA from 1 species
GUAACAAGGUUUCCGUAGGUGAACCUGCGGAAGGAUCAUUACCUAGAGUUUGUGGGCUUUGCCCGCUACCUCUUACCCAUGUCUUUUGAGUACUUACGUUUCCUCGGCGGGUCCGCCCGCCGAUUGGACAAAAUCAAACCCUUUGCAGUUGCAAUCAGCGUCUGAAAAACAUAAUAGUUACAACUUUCAACAACGGAUCUCUUGGUUCUGGCAUCGAUGAAGAACGCAGCGAAAUGCGAUAAGUAGUGUGAAUUGCAGAAUUCAGUGAAUCAUCGAAUCUUUGAACGCACAUUGCGCCCCUUGGUAUUCCAUGGGGCAUGCCUGUUCGAGCGUCAUUUGUACCUUCAAGCUUUGCUUGGUGUUGGGUGUUUGUCUCGCCUCUGCGUGUAGACUCGCCUUAAAACAAUUGGCAGCCGGCGUAUUGAUUUCGGAGCGCAGUACAUCUCGCGCUUUGCACUCAUAACGACGACGUCCAAAAGUACAUUUUUACACUCUUGACCUCGGAUCAGGUAGGGAUACCCGCUGAACUUAAGCAUAUC